CAGUAGCAGAACAACAAGAAAGCUAGCUACUCAAGUACUCCUAAUGGCGCUUAUCAAGAAUAGCGGGCAGGCUAUGUGCCUGCUGGCUCUUGUUGUCAUGACUACCACUUCCCUGCCCUCUCUUGUAGAAGGAAGGAUCAUGGAUACAAAGGGCACGAUGGUCGGCAAGCCGCCGUGUUUUGUUAUGGAACGUUGCACACUCGAUCUAUGCGAGAAACAAUGUUUAGCACAUGGAUAUCAUAAGGGUCAAAGCGACUGCAUAUCUUUCACAAAAAACCAAUGUUGCUGCAACCGGAUAUGAUAAGGGUAAAAAACGAAUGUCAAAUAAGACUAUUCGACGUGAUUGAUGAAGAAGAUUCAAUAAAAUUUAAACUUUAUCUAGUAACUAUUGGUUGAUGCAUAACUGCCAAGUGUGAGCAAGUGAAUCGUUGUCUGUCGAGUG